rnacentral:rRNA from 1 species
UACGUAGGGUGCAAGCGUUAAUCGGAAUUACUGGGCGUAAAGCGCACGCAGGCGGUCCGUCAAGUCAGAUGUGAAAUCCCCGGGCUCAACCUGGGAACUGCAUUCGAAACUGGCAGGCUAGAGUCUUGUAGAGGGGGGUAGAAUUCCAGGUGUAGCGGUGAAAUGCGUAGAGAUCUGGAGGAAUACCGGUGACGAAGGCGGCCCCCUGGACAAAGACUGACGCUCAGGUGCGAAAGCGUGGGGAGCAAACAGG